CAUCAGAUGACUGAAAGCAAGUAAUGGUCUCUUAAACCACAAAAUGGUAAUUUAGCAACUAUCCCUGAUG
rnacentral:tRNA from 1 species